GCCAUUCUCUAAUCUUGAGUACCCAGGGACACGAUACACUGCGGAAGGCUGCAGGGACCUCUGCCCAGGAAAGCCAGGCUUGCAUGAAGGAAAUGAUUUCCUAUGAUUCUGCUUACUGCUUAAAAAAAUUAAUCAAGUUUUCUGCCUGACAAGAUCCAGUAUCUGCCGGAGGAGCCCCACCUUCUGCUACUAUUAUGUUCUUCAGAUGAGUAGAAGAGAGUGGGGAGGGAGAGAGCAGGAAGAAGAAAGGAAGAAUAAUGUCUUGAAAUUGAACAUUCAGCAGGAACUGUGGAAAUCCAAGUCAAGUAAUAUUCUCAACAGUUUUCUAAGGAUAAUGGUCUCCAGCUUCGUCAAUGUUCCUGCAAAGGACAUGAUGCUGACUUUGAAGAUGCAAGCUUCCACAUCUACAGCCUCAAGGAAACAAAUUCAGCCAACCAACUGAGGGAGCUUUCCUUGUCCUGCCUCAAGAUGAGAUCACAGUCUGCCCAACACCAUGAUUUAGGCCUUGUGACACCUGGUAUGGAAGACCCAAGCUCAGAUGGAAAAGAAUGGUGUUACUGAGACCCUUCAAGAUUCCCAGUGUAAUUCAAUAAAGAAAAGGCAACACAAAGGGGUUGUAUAGAAUUCGCCACAUUAUGGACCCAUGUCAUAGAGAGAAUCCACGGUGCAUUUGUUAGCUGCAUUUAAAUGACAACACUUUCAGAUCCAAGAUUUAUUUGGGAUAAAAAUUUACCUGGAUGCAAGGCUAUUCAGAAUGAAGAUUAAUGAUAUGGUUUGGCUGUGUCCCCACCCAAACUUCAUCUUGAAUUCCCACGUGUUGUGAGAGGGACCUGGUGGGAGAUAAUUGAACCAUGGGGGCAGGUCUUUCUCAUGCUGUUCUCAUGAGAGUGAAUAAGUCUCAUGAAACCUGAUGGUUUUAUAAGGGGGAAUUUCCCUGCACAAGCUCUCUCUCUGCCUUUUGCCAUCCAUGUAAGACGUGACUUGGUCCUCCUUGCCUUCUACCAUGAUUAUGAGGCCUCCCCAGCCACGUGGAACUGUGAGUCCAUUAAACCUCUUUCUUUUGUAAA
rnacentral:lncRNA from 1 species